GGCUGGUCCAGGUGCAGUGGUGUUAACAACUAACUGAUCACAACCAGUUACGGAUUUCUUUGUUCCUUCUCCACUCCCACUGCUUCACUUGACUAGCCUUAA
ensembl:Y_RNA Y_RNA Y RNA